AGUAUCCUAUUUUUCUCCAUCCAGAAUUCCCGUCACAAAGCACCACGUUGGGCGCGGCUAUGGUGGCUGAUGGCUUGAAGGCAGGAAGAAUUUCCUUGUGUACUAGAAUGCCAGGCAACUCUUUUUUUUUAUCGGCGCUGGAACCACACCCAGGGCCACACCGGGAGCACACCCUGGCUGUUCUGAAGAAGAUAAUCCCUUUCGUCUGUACGACAUGUGGAUCGGAUGAAUGAUAAGUCAUCCUGGCUUCAGCUGGACAAACGGAAUUGUUCAAAGUUCUGAGGCAUCAGCAGAAGCCUGAGAAUUGAAAAAUCAAAGAGAUAGCAGGAAAGAGAGACCUUCUUUUUACAAGUUUGCCUAGCUGAAAGAUGGCCUGUUCCUGGAAAUAUGAGUAGCCAUCACUGCUAUCCUGUGGGGACCACCUGCCUGAGAAGCACACCAACUGCAAGGAAAGCAGAACUGAGAAAACGGCAGUCUUGAUCAUAUCCCUUGAUCCAAGGAUCUAACCUUGGCCUCAUAUCCUGCUUACACAAAUCAAGUCCCUGUUUGUCUUAAAAUUGCUCAAGUUGAGUGUUUGUUGUUUAAAUAGAUCUUUUGUUUGUUUUAGUCCCUUAGCCAUAUUAUCCCCAUUCUAAAGAUAAGGAAACUGAGCUUCAAAAAGGUUAAGGGCUUUGCUCAAGCUAACACAGCUGGGAAGUGAUGGGGCCUGGAAAUGAGGUGGGAUGCUCUGAUUCUGUAGCUCAUGUUCUUUCUAUAGUCUGAUGCAGCCUCACUGAGCACGGCUAAAUGAGCCGUUCAAGCUGGCCUUUGACAUCCUCAUGAGGACAGGCACUGGCUGUCUUGUUUUCCUAGCUCUUGCGCUGACCGACUACAGAUACUUCAGGCUGGCGCACUCAGGGUCAGACAGGCUAAAACUGGUUUUCGGAUGCCUGGAAACUCUGGGAAUCCCUUUUUAUUUAAGUUUCCUAACUUGCAGGAACUACUAAUUGGCCUGGAGCAGACCUAGUUGGCCGCCAGGCAGCCAGACUGCUGCCGAGAAGACACAGAUUCUGCAAACAGAAACACUCUGGGAAGAUGCCCUCAGCUUUGAGGUACUGAGACUCCCACCUCCACUUCCCGAAACUUUGGGAAAAACAGCAGAAGUUGUUCAAAUGUGAGAUAACAGUAUCUUUAAUAUGGACACUUUUUGCUGUGACAGAAAGAGGACCUGCGGUGGCGAGCCCAGGAAACUCCUGGGAGAGUACAGCUGGAAUUAGCAGAUGUUAGCAGAAGUGGAAAAGUCUGCUUUCCUCAAACUGAAAUCACUUUGGUCCAAGUCAUGUUCAAGAUCACAGUAGACAAGAGACCAGUGGCUAAGACCAUCUGGCUGCACCACAGAUGAAAUCAAGGCUUUCUAACUUCCGACUGCGAGUCACAAGCAAUCGGGAAUCAAGGUAAAAUUUCCUUGUCUUUUUGGGUGAGCUCUAAUGGAAG